AUGGUAGUUCCUGCACUCAACCUUGCCCAAGAUGGUGAUGUCCCUCUCUUUAUGCUGGCGGCAACAUUGGCGCCAACGAGUGGGCUUUAUGUCUGGAAUGGGCUUUACGCCUGGCUUGGGCUUUAUGACUUGUUUGGCCUUUGGGGAAUUUCUAAAACCUUAUUGACUUUGUUGGUGAAAAAGAAUGGUGUGCCUGAUUUGACCAUGGUUGAUCUCCCUGGAAUCACUAGGGUUCCUGUUCAUGGCCAGCCUGAGAAUAUUUAUGACCAAAUUAAGGAUAUGAUCAUGGAGUAUAUAAAACCUGAACAGAGCAUCAUUUUAAAUGUGUUGUCUGCGACUGUGGAUUUUACUACUUGUGAAUCGAUUAGGAUGUCACAGAGUGUGGAUAAAACUGGUGAGAGGACUCUGGCUGUGGUUACAAUGGUUGAUAAAGCACCAGAGGGACUGCUAGAGAAGGUUACAACUGAUGAAGUCAAUAUUGGUCUUGGUUAUGUCUGCGUAAGGAACCGGAUUGGAGCUGAGACGUAUAAGGAAGCUCUAGCUAUUUCUGACCAACUAUUUCAAACUCAUCCUCUGCUUUCCAGGAUUGACGAAUCUAUAGUUGGAAUUCAUGUUUUGGCCCAAAAGUUGGUUCAAAUUCAAGCCUCUAGCAUAGCUAGAAACUUGCCGGAUAUUGUUAAGAAGAUUAAUGACAAGCUGAGUUCCUGCCUUUCAGAGCUCGACAAAAUGCCAAAGAAAUUGUCAUCUGUUGCUGAUGCCAUGACAGCUUUCAUCAACAUCAUUGGAGUGUCCAAAGAAUCACUUAGUAAAAUUCUUAUUAGAGGAGAAUUUGACGAGUACCAAAAUGAAAAGCACAUGCAUUGCACGGCCAGGCUUGUAGAAAUGCUCAAUCAGUAUGCUGAUGAACUUCAUAAGGCCAAUGAAAGUGAUCCCAAAAGUAACUUCUUAACGGAGGAGAUUAAGGUUUUGGAAGAAGCGAAAGGUAUUAGUCUCCCAAUUUUCUUCCCCACAAUGUCUUUCUUUCUAUUUUGCAGGGAAAAGUGAGGGGAAUUUCAAGUAUACCCAUUAGGUUUGUUGAGCAGGUGUGGAGUUAUAUUGGGGAUGUGGUGAUUUCUGUGUUAAUGCAUGACACACAAGGCUAUUAUCAUCUUCAUAUGGCUACCAGAAGAGCUGGCCAUAAUCUUAUAUCCAAGAUGAAAGAAAGGUCAAACAGCUGGAUCUUGGAGAUUGUGGAAAUGGAGAAACGUACAGAUUUCACGUGUAAUCCUGAAUAUGUAUCUGAAUGGAAUAGGCUCAUGAACAAACAGAACGCAUUCAUAGAUGGAGUCUUGAAGGAUGAGCAACGGCCCUCUAAGAUGGACAUAGAGGGUAUUGGGAGAUUGAAUUUGAAGGUCUAAGGAAGCACACUCAUGUUGAUCUAUCUCAAGCUUUUGACUUGAAAAUGCGGAUGACUGCGUAUUGGAAGGUUGUUCUGAGAAGGUUGGUUGAUUGCAUGGCCUUGCAUUUGCAGCUGACUGUUGCAAACCUUGUGAACAAAGAAAUGGAGUUGGAGAUUGGUUGUGAGUUAAUGGGAGCAAAUCACGGCGUUGGGAUUGAGAGGAUGCUGGAGGAAGCUCCAUCAGUUGCAGUCAAGCGCGAGAAGCUCAACAAGAGCAUCAAAAAGCUCAAGGAUUCUAAGGAGGUGGUUGGUAAGAUCUUGGAUACUUAUGCUGGUUAACUUGUGGGAUAGCUAUAAUGAUCAAUGUUCUGUUAAUUUCUAGUUAUUAGUAUGUAGUUAAAUGAUGGCCACUUUCUAGUUACAGCAGACAUUUUGUGAGUCCUGUGUGGAUGAUCUGUUUCUGCUUAACUAAGGGCACAUUUUGUUUAUCAUGUGCCUGGUUGCUCAUCCUGUGUGUAACAUAUCUGUUUCUACGUAAUUAAGAUCG